GACGAACGCUGGCGGCGUGCUUAACACAUGCAAGUCGAACGGUGAAGCGCCUUCCUUUUUGGUGAGUGUGGAUGAGUGGCGAACGGGUGAGUAACACGUGAGUAACCUGCCCCCUUCUUCUGGAUAACCGCAUGAAAGUGUGGCUAAUACGGGAUAUUCUGGGUCUGUCGCAUGAUGGGUCUGGGAAAGAUAUUGUUUCGGUGGGGGAUGGGCUCGCGGCCUAUCAGCUUGUUGGUGGGGUGAUGGCCUACCAAGGCGGUGACGGGUAGCCGGCCUGAGAGGGUGGGCGGGCCAACAGGGGCGGGGACACGGCCCAGGCUCCGACGGGGGGCAGCAGGGGGGAAUGUUGCACGAGGGGCGGAAGGCUGAUGCAACGACGCCGCGUGAGGGAUGGAGGCCUUCGGGUUGUGAACCUCUUUCGCCAGUGAAGCAGGCCUGCCUCGUUUGUGGGUGGGUUGACGGUAGCUGGAGAAGAAGCGCCGGCUAACUACGUG
rnacentral:rRNA from 1 species